CCUACGGGAGGCAGCAGUGGGGGGAUAUUGCACAAUGGAGGAAACUCUGAUGCAGCGACGCCGCGUGAGUGAAGAAGUAUUUCGGUAUGUAAAGCUCUAUCAGCAGGGAAGAAAGACCUCGAAAGAGGGGAUGACGGUACCUGAGUAAGAAGCCCCGGCUAACUACGUGCCAGCAGCCCG
rnacentral:rRNA from 1 species